rnacentral:rRNA from 1 species
GAUGAACGCUGGCGGCGUGCCUAAUACAUGCAAGUCGAGCGAAUGGAUUAAGAGCUUGCUCUUAUGAAGUUAGCGGCGGACGGGUGAGUAACACGUGGGUAACCUGCCCAUAAGACUGGGAUAACUCCGGGAAACCGGGGCUAAUACCGGAUAACAUUUUGAACCGCAUGGUUCGAAAUUGAAAGGCGGCUUCGGCUGUCACUUAUGGAUGGACCCGCGUCGCAUUAGCUAGUUGGUGAGGUAACGGCUCACCAAGGCAACGAUGCGUAGCCGACCGGAGAGGGUGAUCGGCCACACUGGGACUGAGACACGGCCCAGACUCCUACGGGAGGCAGCAGUAGGGAAUCUUCCGCAAUGGACGAAAGGCUGACGGAGCAACGCCGCGUGAGUGAUGAAGGCUUUCGGGUCGUAAAACUCUGUUGUUAGGGGAGAACAAGUGCUAGUUGAAUAAGCUGGCACCUUGACGGUACCUAACCAGAAAGCCACGGCUAACUACGUGCCAGCCGCCGCGGUAA